UACGGAGGGAGCUAGCGUUGUUCGGAAUUACUGGGCGUAAAGCGCACGUAGGCGGCUUUGUAAGUUAGAGGUGAAAGCCUGGGGCUCAACCCCAGAAUUGCCUUUAAGACUGCAUCGCUUGAAUCCGGGAGAGGUGAGUGGAAUUCCGAGUGUAGAGGUGAAAUUCGUAGAUAUUCGGAAGAACACCAGUGGCGAAGGCGGCUCACUGGCCCGGUACUGACGCUGAGGUGACGAAAGCGUGGGGAGCAAACAGG
rnacentral:rRNA from 1 species